rnacentral:rRNA from 1 species
GAUGAACGCUGGCGGCGUGCUUAACACAUGCAAGUCGAACGGUGAAGGAGGAGCUUGCUCUUCUGGAUCAGUGGCGAACGGGUGAGUAACACGUGAGCAAUCUGCCCUUGACUCUGGGAUAACAGUUGGAAACAGCUGCUAAUACCGGAUACGAGACGUGACCGCAUGGUCAACGUCUGGAAAGAACUUCGGUCAAGGAUGAGCUCACGGCCUAUCAGCUAGUUGGUGAGGUAAUGGCUCACCAAGGCGACGACGGGUAGCCGGCCUGAGAGGGUGACCGGCCACACUGGGACUGAGACACGGCCCAGACUCCUACGGGAGGCAGCAGUGGGGAAUAUUGCACAAUGGGCGAAAGCCUGAUGCAGCAACGCCGCGUGAGGGACGACGGCCUCGGUUGUAACGUCUUUAGUCAAGGAAGAAGACGAAAGUAGACGGUACGUUGUCAGAAAAGACGACCGGCGUAACUAACGUAGCCAGCAGCCGCGGUAA